AACGGCCAUACCAUGCUGAAUAUAUCGGUUCUCGUUAGAUCACCGAAAUCAAGCAUCAUUGGGCGGGAUCUGUAUGGGUGGGUGACCACC